CACAUGCAAGUCGAACGAUGAUGCCCAGCUUGCUGGGCGGAUUAGUGGCGAACGGGUGAGUAACACGUGAGUAACCUGCCCUUGACUUCGGGAUAACUCCGGGAAACCGGGGCUAAUACCGGAUAUGAGCCGUCCUCGCAUGGGGGUGGUUGGAAAGUUUUUCGGUCAGGGAUGGGCUCGCGGCCUAUCAGCUUGUUGGUGGGGUGAUGGCCUACCAAGGCGACGACGGGUAGCCGGCCUGAGAGGGCGACCGGCCACACUGGGACUGAGACACGGCCCAGACUCCUACGGGAGGCAGCAGUGGGGAAUAUUGCACAAUGGGCGAAAGCCUGAUGCAGCGACGCCGCGUGAGGGAUGAAGGCCUUCGGGUUGUAAACCUCUUUCAGCAGGGAAGAAGCGCAAGUGACGGUACCUGCAGAAGAAGCGCCGGCUAACUACGUGCCAGCAGCCGCGGUAAUACGUAGGGCGCAAGCGUUGUCCGGAAUUAUUGGGCGUAAAGAGCUCGUAGGCGGUUUGUCGCGUCUGGUGUGAAAACUCGAGGCUCAACCUCGAGCUUGCAUCGGGUAC
rnacentral:rRNA from 1 species